UAAACCUUAGUUUAUUUAGAAUGGUCGAUUGUUAGUUGAUAGGAAGGCUUAGUAGUGCCUAGGUUUAG
rnacentral:tRNA from 1 species